rnacentral:rRNA from 1 species
GAUUAACGCUGGCGGCGUGCAUAACACAUGCAAGUCGAACGAAGUGGCGGUCGGGUGAGUAACGCGUGAGUAACCUGCCUUAGAGAAGGGGAUAGCCUUUGGAAACGAAGACUAAUACCCUAUGCUCUAAGAUGGGCUUGCGUCUGAUUAGCUAGUUGGUGAGAUAAUAGCUCCCCAAGGCAACGAUCAGUAGCCGGCUUGAGAGAGUGUACGGCAACAUUGGGACUGGGACACGGCCCAGACUCUACGGGAGGCAGCAGUGGGGAAUUUGGCACAAUGGGGGAAACACUGAGGCAGCGACGCCGCGUGAUUUAGAAGGCCGUCGGGUUGUAAAAAUCUUUUCUAUGGGAAGCAGUACCAUAGGAAUAAGGACCGGCUAAUUACGUGCCAGCAGCCGCGGUAAUUC